rnacentral:rRNA from 1 species
GACGAACGCUGGCGGCGUGCUUAACACAUGCAAGUCGAGCGGUAAGGCCCUUUCGGGGGGUACACGAGCGGCGAACGGGUGAGUAACACGUGGGUGACCUGCCCUCAGCUCUGGGAUAAGCCUGGGAAACCGGGUCUAAUACCGGAUAUGACUCCAUGACGCAUGUUGUGGGGGUGGAAAGCCUUGUGCGGCUGAGGAUGGGCCCGCGGCCUAUCAGCUUGUUGGUGGGGUGAUGGCCUACCAAGGCGACGACGGGUAGCCGGCCUGAGAGGGCGACCGGCCACACUGGGACUGAGACACGGCCCAGACUCCUACGGGAGGCAGCAGGUGGGGAAUCUUGCACAAGUGGGGGCAACCCUGAUGCAGCGACGCCGCGUGGGCGAUGAAGGUCUUCGGAUCGUAAA